AUAGAAAGCCAUCUUAACAUGAAAAAGUGUCAGGUAAACUUUCUUCCGUGAUAUGUUUGAAUAAGCGUUGAAAACGGUGACAAAUCGCAAUUAAACACAACGGAAGUUAUUUAGCGUAUUGUUCAGAGCUGGAGAGUGUAUUGAAGAAGUACGGGGAGCCCCUCACCCAUCACGAGUCCAAGGAACUCAUAGACCUUAUGGACAAGAACGGAGACGGCAAGGUGGAUAUGGACGAGUUUGUGAACUUUUUAUGCGAAGUGGAUCGACCCAACUUUUUCCUUACGCACUACCCACAUCACGUGAAGCUGAACGUGACAGACGAAACAAAGAAAACGUGAUUAUACAUAUGACGUCAAUUACGACGUCAUACAGAUUAAGGACUCAUGUGAGGCUCAUAAUGACUUCAUACAACCUAAGGACUGAUAUUUGUUCUCAUUUACAAAGUCGCCCUAAUUAUUAACCCAACGUUCCGAGUCAUACAUAGCAUCGCUGAUGUAGACAUUGUGAAGCAACUGACCUGAAGCCAUUGUGUGAAAAUGAAUACAAUGUGAUUACUAUACAUGAGAAGAAAAUGUUAUUUUAUCUUUCGUUAAAAACUCCGCAAUAUUUACAUGUCUAGCUUGUAUGUAACGAAAUACGGCAAUACAAAUGUCCCAUUUGUUUGGAAAUAGGUCUGACACGCAGAAAGAUGAGCCAUUAUUGGUUGUGAAUAAAAUAGGACUAUAAAUGUUAUGCCAAUGUUGCAAUGUUAUGCUUAUGUGUAAUGAAAUUGUAGCAAUUUUUACAAAAGGUUGUAAGUGGUUCCAGCAAGCGAAUGAAUGAUCUUUUUCAAUAGGCGCCAUGCCUACUACCCAGAUAACGGACUCAGAAAUGGUUAGAUGAGUAUUUGUCCAACAGCUUUUGUCUUUAUAUCAAUAUUGCUGUUAACUUGUGGCGCUGACCCCAGCUUUAAUAUGUGCCAUGUUUGACGGUGUGCUGAAUCAAUCGUCCUGUACUGCAUAGCCUUGUAUAUUACUGCAAACAACAAUUUUCGUCUGAUGUUU